UACGUAGGCAGCAAGCGUUGUUCGGAGUUACUGGGCGUAAAGGGUGUGUAGGCGGUUGUUUAAGUUUGGUGUGAAAUCUCCCGGCUCAACUGGGAGGGUGCGCCGAAUACUGAAUGACUUCGAGUGCGGGAGAGGAAAGUGGAAUUCCUGGUGUAGCAGUGAAAUGCGUAGAUAUCAGGAGGAAUACCGAUGGCGAAGGCAGGUCUCUGGGCUGACACUGACGCUCAUGCACGAAAGCGUGGGGAGCAAACAGG
rnacentral:rRNA from 1 species